rnacentral:rRNA from 1 species
GACGAACGCUGGCGGCGUGCUUAAUACAUGCAAGUCGAACGAGAAGCCGCUUUCGGUCUGUGGAGAGUGGUUGACGGGCGAGUAAUAUGUAGGAAAUCUGCCUUCAGGAGAGGUUCAACAGAGGGAAACUACUGCUAAUACAUCAUAUGAGCGUAUCUGACAUGCGCUUAUUGAAAACGCCGUUUCCUAAUGAUGAGCAUGCAUCUGAUUAGCUCGUUGGUAGUGUUAUGAACUACACAGGCGAGGAUCAGUAGCUGUUUUGGGAGGAUGAUCAGCCACAGUGUGAGGGAGACACGGGCCUUGCUCGUACGGCAGACAGCAGAAGGAAAGUUCACGCAAUGGGCGAAGGCCUGACGCAGCAACGCCGCGUGAACAAUUAAUCCGUUCAGAGUAUAGAGUUCUGUCAGUAGGGACGAAACUUGACGGUAACCACAGAAGAAGCACCGGCUAACUCCGUG